rnacentral:miRNA from 1 species
UUCGGAGGAUGGCUCAUCAAGC